rnacentral:rRNA from 1 species
UACGGGGGAGCAAGCGUUGUUCGGAUUUACUGGGCGUAAAGGGCGCGUAGGCGGCCACCGGCAAGUCGGUUGUGAAAUCUCCGGGCUUAACCCGGAAAGGUCAACCGAUACUGCGGGGCUAGAGUGCAGAAGGGGCAACUGGAAUUCUCGGUGUAGCGGUGAAAUGCGUAGAUAUCGAGAGGAACACCUGCGGCGAAGGCGGGUUGCUGGGCUGACACUGACGCUGAAGUGCGAAAGCUAGGGGAGCGAACGGG